CUGCUAGAACCUCCAAACAAGCUCUCAA
rnacentral:piRNA from 1 species